UACGUAGGGGGCAAGCGUUGUCCGGAAUCAUUGGGCGUAAAGAGCGUGUAGGCGGCUUGAUAAGUCCGCUGUGAAAGUCCAGGGCUCAACCCUGGAAUGCCGGUGGAAACUGUCAAGCUUGAGUCCGGAAGAGGCGAGUGGAAUUCCUGGUGUAGCGGUGAAAUGCGCAGAUAUCAGGAGGAACACCAAUGGCGAAGGCAGCUCGCUGGGACGGUACUGACGCUGAGACGCGAAAAGCGUGGGGGAGCAAACAGG
rnacentral:rRNA from 1 species